UGGAUCGCCCUUUCUGUUUGAUCCUGGCAGAGGUUACUGCUAUCGGUGUUCGCCUAAGCCAUGCGAGUCAUAUGUAGCAAUACAUGGCGUACUGCUCAGUAACACGUGGAUAACCUGCCCUUGGGACCGGCAUAACCCCGGGAAACUGGGGAUAAUUCCGGAUAACGCAUAUUUGCUGGAAUGCUUUAUGCGUCAAAAGGAUUCGUCUGCCCAAGGAUGGGUCUGCGGCCUAUCAGGUAGUAGUGGGUGUAAUGUACCUACUAGCCAGCGACGGGUACGGGUUGUGAGAGCAAGAGCCCGGAGAUGGAUUCUGAGACAUGAAUCCAGGCCCUACGGGGCGCAGCAGGCGCGAAAACUUUACAAUGCGGGAAACCGUGAUAAGGGGACACCGAGUGUCAGCAUCAUAUGCUGGCUGUCCAGGUGUGUAAAAUACACCUGUUAGCAAGGGCCGGGCAAGACCGGUGCCAGCCGCCGCGGUAACACCGGCGGCCCGAGUGGUGAUCGUGAUUAUUGGGUCUAAAGGGUCCGUAGCCGGUUUGGUCAGUCCUCCGGGAAAUCUGAUGGCUCAACCAUUAGGCUUUCGGGGGAUACUGCCAGGCUUGGAACCGGGAGAGGUAAGAGGUACUACAGGGGUAGGAGUGAAAUCUUGUAAUCCCUGUGGGACCACCUGUGGCGAAGGCGUCUUACCAGAACGGGUUCGACGGUGAGGGACGAAAGCUGGGGGCACGAACCGGAUUAGAUACCCGGGUAGUCCCAGCCGUAAACGAUGCUCGCUAGGUGUCAGGCAUGGCGCGACCGUGUCUGGUGCCGCAGGGAAGCCGUGAAGCGAGCCACCUGGGAAGUACGGCCGCAAGGCUGAAACUUAAAGGAAUUGGCGGGGGAGCACAACAACGGGUGAGCCUGCGGGUUUAUUGGACU
rnacentral:rRNA from 1 species